rnacentral:rRNA from 1 species
CGGAGGGUGCAAGCGUUAUCCGGAUUUACUGGGUUUAAAGGGUGCGUAGGUGGGUCUGUAAGUCAGUGGUGAAAUCUCCGAGCUUAACUCGGAAACUGCCAUUGAUACUAUAGGUCUUGAAUUAUCUGGAGGUGAGCGGAAUAUGUCAUGUAGCGGUGAAAUGCUUAGAUAUGACAUAGAACACCAAUUGCGAAGGCAGCUCACUACGGAUAUAUUGACACUGAGGCACGAAAGCGUGGGGAUCAAACAGGAUUAGAUACCCUGGUAGUCCACGCCCUAAACGAUGGAUACUCGACAUACGCGAUACACUGUGUGUGUCUGAGCGAAAGCAUUAAGUAUCCCACCUGGAAAGUACGAUCGCAAGAUUG